rnacentral:rRNA from 1 species
GUUAGCGGCGGACGGGUGAGUAACACGUGGGUAACCUGCCUGUAAGACUGGGAUAACUCCGGGAAACCGGAGCUAAUACCGGAUAGUUCCUUGAACCGCAUGGUUCAAGGAUGAAAGACGGUUUCGGCUGUCACUUACAGAUGGACCCGCGGCGCAUUAGCUAGUUGGUGGGGUAAUGGCUCACCAAGGCGACGAUGCGUAGCCGACCUGAGAGGGUGAUCGGCCACACUGGGACUGAGACACGGCCCAGACUCCUACGGGAGGCAGCAGUAGGGAAUCUUCCGCAAUGGACGAAAGUCUGACGGAGCAACGCCGCGUGAGUGAUGAAGGUUUUCGGAUCGUAAAGCUCUGUUGUUAGGGAAGAACAAGUGCGAGAGUAACUGCUCGCACCUUGACGGUACCUAACCAGAAAGCCACGGCUAACUACGUGCCAGCAGCCGCGGUAAUACGUAGGUGGCAAGCGUUGUCCGGAAUUAUUGGGCGUAAAGGGCUCGCAGGC